rnacentral:lncRNA from 1 species
GGCUCAAUGUCUCUCACAUGCCCCCUACGAGUACCCAACACCUUCUUAAAUAUUGCGAUCCAAUAAAUGGUGUCUGGAUCACCACCGGAGUCGGCUAUGUGAUGAGUUUGUAGAGCAACCUCAGCAACUAAGGCAUUCUAUAUUUCACAAGGCUUUGGCAUUGUUGUUUGUACUAAACACAAGAAACAGCCUUCCAAUAAAUGAAACUUAUUCCAAAUUCUAUUAUGCAUUUUCAAUUUUUUAUUAUAAAUGUGAGGGGUAAUUUAACUAUGUGUCUCAAGAUGUGUGUUGUGUAAUAGAAAGACAUAGUUGUUGCAUAACAAAAAACGUAACCUUUAGCGACGACAAAAAGCAUCGCAAUUGAUGCCCCUGGACGUCGCUAAUACCUUUAGCGACGACAUGUUGUCGCUAUUACCUCGUAGCUAAUACUCUUUUGUCGUCGGAAAUAGUGUCGCCUCUGAUAUACGUUGUUGCUAAAUGGUUAAUCUCAUUGUUGUUGGUGUCGUCUCUAUUGGUAUCCCGGCACCGGUCAGAGUUUCUCCGGCUACACUUCCGGGAACCGGUUGUCAUCACAAUUGGAUCAUUGUCGUCCCUAAAUAUGUGGCUGCUAAUGGUUUUUUUUGGAAAAUAAUAAUUUAUUUAUGAUAUUGGUUUUUAUAUAUUAUAAAAUGCAUCUUUAAUAAAAAUACAUACCACAUUACAUAAAACAUCAAAUAUAUCAUAUUACAUAAACUAUCUAAUAUAUCCCAAAUACACAUCUAAUAUAUCAUCCAUAAACUAUCUAAUAAAUCCAAAAUAACACCAUCCACAAAGGGUCAAAACAAGAAAUACUAUGUGUCUGCGUCUUCGUCAUCGUUCUUUUCUUCAUUAUUGACGUGGCUUUUAAACAAACAGAUAAUGUCUCCAAUGGUUGUCACAAACACCAGGUUUUGAAGAAAAGCAUUCACAUCAACAUUCUACAAUUAAUUCACAAGCACAUUAAGUCAUUAACUAUUAAUUAUUUAACAAACGAUCAAACCAUCAGACCACCAAAUGAAUUAUGUCGGUAACAAUUUAAAAAACUAUUAAGCCACCAAAUCAGUUAAGUCUUUAAGAAUUUAACAAACUACCAAACUAACUAACUACCAUAAAUUAUUAUAAAUGCAUAAUGCUCUUAACAAUAUAGCAAAGCUACCAAAUUCUUUAAGAAUUUAACAAGUAGUUGUGGUUCUUGCGGUGCUUGUGACUGUGACCGCCAUUAGGAUGAAGCACGUGUACCCGUUGCUGAAGAAGUUUUAGGCUCAAAGCCUCUCACAUGCCCCCUACGAGCACCCAACACCUUCUUAAAUAUUGCGAUCCAAUAAAUGGUGUCUGGAUCACCACCAGAGUCGGCUAUGUGAUGAGUUUGUAGAGCAACCUCAGCAACUAAAGCAUUAUAUAUUUCACGAGGCUUUGGCAUUGUUGUUUGUACUAAACACAAGAAAUAGCCUUCCAAUAAAUGAAACUUAUUCCAAAUUCUAUUAUGCAUUUUCAAUUUUUUAUUAUAAAUGUGAGGGGUAAUUUAACUAUGUGUCUCAAGAUGUGUGUUGUGUAAUAGAAAUACAUAGUUGUUGCAUAACAAAAAACAUAACCUUUAGCGAUGACAAAAAGCAUCGCAAUUGAUGCCCCUGGACGUCGCUAAUACCUUUAGCGACGACAUGUUGUCGCUAUUACCUCGUAGCUAAUACUCUUUUGUCGUCGGAAAUAGUGUCGCCUCUGAUAUACGUUGUUGCUAAAUGGUU